UAAGACUGAGUAAUGACAUGUUUUGUCAGGCUACAGUUCCCUUUAAAGGGAUUUAUAUUAGUCAGUUUAUACACUGACUAGAUGGUGCAAGCAUCCUCUGGUAGGUGGAAGCACAAAACACUCUCCUUGCUUGGGUGCCCAUCAUGAUACCAUUUUGACUGCUAAGAAAGUUAUGUCCUUCUGCUUGCACCUCCGAGCUCUCACAAGGCCAGCUAGAGACACAGUCCUGGGAUAGUGUGCAGCUCAGAGACUGCUCCUGAUGUUGCCUCUGCUUCUGCCAGAGCCCUGCAAAGCUGGACUGGUUGCAGCAGACAUGUUUCAUCAGCUAUUGCCGUGGUUAGAUGUGUAGUCAGAAGUGUUCAAGCAAUUGCAACUUCCUGUCCCACUGUAUACUUUUAAAGACUUUUUCGUCAGAACUCAGUUCAACCAUCUGCCUUUUCCUCCAUUUCUUUCCCAUGACAAAAGAGGUCUGAAAUUGCAUGAAAUGGCAAAACUGAUUUUAGCCUUCACUGCUGUUCAGAGCUGAGUCUGGGCCUCCAUACCACUUCUACUCUCAGGGCAUCAGAGACCUGGCAAAUCGCAGCAAGUAAGGAUGACAGAUACCCCAGAUCAAGUAUUCUCCUCCAACUCAAUAGGCCUGCAAUAAUAGCUAUUAAUCCUCCCAAAAGAUCCAGAGUAAAGCAGGAACAAAACUGUCUUCAUAUUGUUCAAAUUACUUUCUGUCUUGUUCCAAAUGAUGAGAGCUCUAGAAGAAAAGAAUUUGCAUCCACUGCAAACACAGAAGACCUGAAAUAUGUUUCCAGAAUGUGACACACAGGCAGUUGCCAGCCUGAUCAAUUCAAUUCAGUUCAAUAUCUCACAAAGUAUUUCAGGACUACAUGGCAUUCUCAGUGGAAAAUACUCAGCAGUCACAACUAAUUGACAUUUCCAGAACUAUAGCAGUUAAAUCAUUUAGUGUUCUCUUUCAGCUUAUGUUCUCAUGCCCACAGCUCCGACAACAAGAGAGUUUGGCACUCUGACUGUAUUCAUUGGAGUUGAAUACAGCAGCUCAGCUUUCAGGUGAAAACACGUUAGCAAUUGCAAAAUGCACAUUUUAUGCUUCAUCUUAUAUUUUCAUCUGAGAAGCCAGCCAUCCUCUAUAGUGAAAGCAGCGUUCCUAGUGAGACCCUUGUGGGCUGCAGGUCCACCUUUCUAAGGACAAGAGCAUGAAACAUGUCUAGCUUGGUUGGAGGCAUAUAUACAACUUGUCUUACUGGAACAGACAAAGCCUGUUUCCACUGUCUGUGGCGUCUAUUCUUCUGUUUAUGUGGGAUCAUUCAAUUUUUCUUCUGUAAUUUGCAGGCGUACAAAAGAAGUCAUUGCAAAAAUUCAUUAUUUCAAGGCACAGGUGCAAGCAUUAAUGUUUCUAUUUAUGAACAACAGAAACCAGUAAAAACCAUAAUCUUGUAUCUAUUUGAAUUAGAUGUGCUGUCCUACACCUUUUAUGUUCUGAGCACAGCAAGUGACACCAUCCCCUUUCAGCCAUGGCUGUAGGUGCCUGUGAUAGCACCUCUGCUGCAGGCAGGAGGGAUUUGUGCUGUACCCAUUCUCGCCAGGAACAGAAGGCCUUUGGAGGAUCUAGCAAUUGGGAACUAGCAUCAAGUGAACGGAAUUCUCUUAAAAUUGGAAGGAUGGCGAGAGGAGGAAGAAAAUGAGAUGAAUCUGGGUAAACAUCACACAAUAGAAUUAAUGACAGGCAGGCACAGGAUGCAGCUGAAGCCCAGCCUCCGGAUCCCUAACUCAUCACAUGCUGCUGGAAAACACCAGGCGAGCAGAGGGGAAAGAGGCUGAAGUUACUAUCCCAUACACAUUUCAACAGGAGCAUUCAGACCAAAUCAGCUUGUAUAAGAAGAUGUGUUAAGCAGUUUAUUCUCUUGGCAGAGAUACAAGCAGCCUGUUUCUGAAGAAUGGCAUUGAGUGACCUCCUUUACCCAGAUAAUCCCAAGAGAAAGCAAGAACUGAUCCAUCUGCAUCAGGAAUUGCUUGACUGUAUGUCCACAAAUUUCCAUGCAACAAACGAGCUGGUUGGAGUGCUGAAUGAUCACCUGGGCUGUACAAUUACCCCCAUUGAGAUGCGAGAGAGCAGUACAGUCAAGGAAAACUGUGAGAUUAUCAUUCAAGUGAUGAGUGAGAUUCAGCAUCAGGUGCAGAAGAUUGAUAGUGACAUGAAGGACAAGCUUGAGCCAGUGCUGUACCAGAAGCUGUAUGAUAUCAAAGAGCCCGAGCUGGAGAAAAUUGCAAUAGCCCAGAGAGUUUUUUCCAUUAUUUUUGGAGAAGCAACUUCAACAGCUGCAAUGGUAGCUAUCAAACUUCUUGGCUCCAAUCAUUUAACUCUCACUGUGAGCAAGCUCAUCGGCAUCCUUGCACAGAUUGGGGCAUCUGUUCUUGGGGGAGUGAGCAUUACCAUUAUUGGGCUUGGCCUUGAGAUGAUUCUUCAUGCCAUCCUGGGAGCUGUGGAGAGGAGCCAGCUUCUGACAGCUGUGAGAAGCUACGAGAAGCACCUGGCUGAGUUUAAAGCAGCCUCAGAAAAGUACCAGGGUGCCAUACAUGAAGUAACUUCUUUGGUGAGGCAGCAAGUUCAGUAAAUGAAGGUGGAGUUCUCUCUUCUGCUGUCACAGCAGCUGCAGCAGCUUAUGCCUAUGGAAACCUUUUCGAUUCUUUAUGACAAAUCAACUACUGAUGGCUUUUUAAUUUCUUAUUAGUGGCAGCAGAACAAGAAAAGUGAUAGUUCAGGAAAGUGGCACUGAAAUACAUUAACAGAGAACUGGUUUACAGGUGUUUCAGAAGGGCGAUGUUCCAAAUGCUUUGCACCUUUGCUUAAGCUUAUUUUCUGGGAAGCAUUGUAGGUAACCUUGAACUGUAAUUCAUACUAGAGACAAUAACACAGGCUGCUGGACUGGUAGUAGUGAGAAGGUGUGUUUCUCUAUCAAAGAUGACAACACAAUGGGAGAAAACAAUUUCAACAAGGCAAUUCAUGCCAGCAUCUGGAGGCUUUAUGAAGACAUCUGUGGUUGCUAAACCCUUACUGUGGUUUAGUGCUAAAUCUGAUAGACUGAAUUCAAUUACAAGGACUAGCUGAAGCAUAUUUAACUGCUAUUUUCUGCCCUCCUAAGGAGCCAGCCAGAGAUCUUCUUUAAAUAAACUCUAAUCCCAGUAGAUUGGCAGGUAAGAGAAGCCUGGGCCUACAUGCAGAUACACAAAACCUUGCUCCACCACUGAGAGAAACCAGCUGCUGCAUUCCAGGUGUGCCUGGCCGUGAAUAACCUCUCGUGCUGGUGGUGCUCUGCUCCUGCCAACCCACAUGUAAAAAUUUCUGUGCAAAGUUGCUCUUUUGUUGAUUGGAGUGGGAUUAUACCCAUGUACAAGUGCCUGUAGGAUUGCAGCCCUAUUAAACUAAAGUUAUUUUCAAGGCUUUACCUGAUCCCACCAACUGGGGGACUGCCAAGAAUGUGCUCAGAUUCUGCGCUUCGCAAUACACUACCAACUGUCCUUUUUUCAGAUUUUAAAACCAAACCUGGAAGCAAGAACAUUAUUUGUAGUGUCUUGCUCUGAUUUGCAGUGGAUUGUUUUUUCUUGAUCUUAGAAAAAAGCCACUAGAUGGCAAUGAAACUGGAACCCAACAACUCUGCCAAGUCAAAAGGGAGAAAGCCCAGGGAUCAGGAGCAUAGGUGGGUGCCAGGGCCUGAGAAACUGGGACCAGCUGCAGACUGGGCGAUGUGAGUCAGGAAAGGCACUUCAGUGGUGGCAAAAAGCACUGCCUUGCCUGCACGAGGUAUUGUGGUGGAUGACGUGGUCACCUGAGGCAUCACUUCUCCGAGAUGGAACAUCUCUUGUCUCCUGACACAAAUGGCACUCAGUUUAGAGGUACUUCUAUAGAGGCAAGAGACCGUCAGUCAGUAGAACAGCAAUAUCUGUGUGUUGGAGAGGCAGGAGUUCCUGGCUCCCAUUUUCUAUGUGCAAAUGUACACUCUAAACUAGGAAUUAAAAUCAGCUCUGACAGAUUGCCAAUCACUGCUGUAUGAGAAUAGUGGAGUCAAAGAACAACAAAUAUGUUGUAUUUUUCAAGCAAUUUGCCCACAUGUUCUUGAAUUCUAAUGCUAAGCAGUGUCUGGGGAAGUGAGGUAUGCAAUGAGGAACACAGAGGUAUAAAACUGCUACUCGCCUCUAGGUAUAUCCUUGUUCCUGGUGGACUUUAAGGAAAGCGGGUCUCCCCUAAACAGAUUUAAUUCCUGCUCUGUCUAAUCCUCUGGCCAGUCUUAUGUUUAGUGCUCCAAAGAUGUCAUAACCAGUCUGUUGAUAUUUCCCCUGCAGACUCCUUCAAGCUGCCUCUCAGUGUGACAGAAGUACCGAGCGAAAAAUGUGAGAGGACUAUUGUCCUCCAAAUCAGCAGACACUGCUGAGAGAAGGCAGUCAGGGCUGAGGCAGUACCACUGUCCCCACUGAGCCAGGACUGCCAGGACCCCAAGCCUUGUGAGGUGCAGCGAGCCUUCGAAGACUCAGCCAUCCCCCUCUACAGUGGCAUGGCACCUGACAGGGAUGUGUAUGGCCACAGCUUUCCAUCACAUCCUCUUGAGUGUACUGCCUUUGCUUGGGCUGUUGCUCUGGACAAAGGAUUAGGAAUUAAAACUGUGAUAUAUGUGUUCCAAAUAAGAACAGCCUCAAAAAAACUGCAAACCAGCCCAAACCAGUGUAAGCUGCUUCCAAACCUAUGUGGAAAACCAGUACGGUUGCAACCAAAAUCUGCCUGGCUGAAUGUUUUUUCUGGUGACAAGAAUAAUACAAAGACAACCUGCCAAAGAGGCACAAGGUGGGGAUGACCAUGCUGUGCAUGUGGUUAGCAAGACUCUGUAGGCACUGAGAGCUCCUGAAGCCUUGGCUCUGAGGAUGCUCCUUGAUUUUGACUUUGUGCAGCUUUUGACUAAACGCUGGCAUUAAUGUGAUGUAUAGCUUAUAGUCCUUUACCCAUCCUGCAAUGAACUUUACAAAUUAGCCAACUGAGUCUCCGUUACUUGAAAAAUUAUAACAGCAUUGUGUUGCACGGUAUGUUCACCAGGA